rnacentral:rRNA from 1 species
GUCCACGCCGUAAACGAUGGGCACUAGAUGUGGGCGGUGUCGACUCCGCCCGUGUCGAAGCUAACGCAUUAAGUGCCCCGCCUGGGGAGUACGGCCGCAAGGCUAAAACUCAAAGGAAUUGACGGGGGCCCCGCACAAGCAGCGGAGCAUGUGGUUUAAUUCGACGCAACGCGAAGAACCUUACCUGGGCUUGACAUGUCCGUGUAAACCCUGGAAACAGGGUCCCUCUUCGGAGCGCGGUCACAGGUGGUGCAUGGCUGUCGU